rnacentral:rRNA from 1 species
AAACCAGCACCUCAAGUGGUCAGGAGGAUUAUUGGGCCUAAAGCAUCCGUAGCCUGUUCUAUAAGUUUCCGGUUAAAUCCACUAGCUCAACUAGUGGGCUGCCGAAAAUACUGUAGAACUAGGGAGUGGGAGAGGUAGACGGUACUCGGUAGGAAGGGGUAAAAUCCUUUGAUCUAUUGAUGACCACCUGUGGCGAAGGCGGUCUACCAGAACACGUUCGACGGUGAGGGAUGAAAGCUGGGGGAGCAAACCGGAUUAGAAACCCGAGUAGUCC